rnacentral:rRNA from 1 species
GAUGAACGCUGGCGGCGUGCCUAAUACAUGCAAGUCGAGCGAACAGAUGAGGAGCUUGCUCCUCUGACGUUAGCGGCGGACGGGUGAGUAACACGUGGAUAACCUACCUAUAAGACUGGGAUAACUUCGGGAAACCGGAGCUAAUACCGGAUAAUAUAUUGAACCGCAUGGUUCAAUAGUGAAAGACGGUUUUGCUGUCACUUAUAGAUGGAUCCGCGCCGCAUUAGCUAGUUGGUAAGGUAACGGCUUACCAAGGCAACGAUGCGUAGCCGACCUGAGAGGGUGAUCGGCCACACUGGAACUGAGACACGGUCCAGACUCCUACGGGAGGCAGCAGGAGGGAAUCUUCCGCAAUGGGCGAAAGCCUGACGGAGCAACGCCGCGUGAGUGAUGAAGGUCUUCGGAUCGUAAAACUCUGUUAUUAGGGAAGAACAAAUGUGUAAGUAACUAUGCACGUCUUGACGGUACCGAAUCAGAAAGCCACGGCUAACUACGU